rnacentral:siRNA from 1 species
UCACAAAAAGCAAAAAAAGUGUCU